rnacentral:rRNA from 1 species
AUUGAACGCUGGCGGCAUGCCUUACACAUGCAAGUCGAACGGUAACAGGUCUUCGGAUGCUGACGAGUGGCGAACGGGUGAGUAAUACAUCGGAACGUGCCCGAUCGUGGGGGAUAACGGAGCGAAAGCUUUGCUAGUACCGCAUACGAUCUACGGAUGAAAGCAGGGGACCGCAAGGCCUUGCGCGGACGGAGCGGCCGAUGGCAGAUUAGGUAGUUGGUGGGAUAAAAGCUUACCAAGCCGACGAUCUGUAGCUGGUCUGAGAGGACGACCAGCCACACUGGGACUGAGACACGGCCCAGACUCCUACGGGAGGCAGCAGUGGGGAAUUUUGGACAAUGGGCGCAAGCCUGAUCCAGCCAUGCCGCGUGCAGGAUGAAGGCCUUCGGGUUGUAAACUGCUUUUGUACGGAACGAAAAGACUCUUUCUAAUAAAGAGGGUCCAUGACGGUACCGUAAGAAUAAGCACCGGCUAACUACGUG